AGACGGCCUUGGCUUUGUCACUUUUCCCUCAGUUGGACUCUACCCCCGGGUGCGAGGCUUGGCCAUAUCUGAGACCCGACAGGUGGAAGAGCCUCCCGCUCAUUCUGACGCUGAUCCCCGGAAGAGUCUCCACCUGUAUUGUUCCCUCCGGUCAGCUCGAUUCUCUUUACAGUGACCAGAAGGACCGUGACCCUCAGACGCUGGCCCUACUGAACAGAAGGGUCUGAUGAUCAAUCGAGCCUACGUGCUUUGGCACGAUCGGAUUCCUGAAGCAUCUCUUUACCGAACCGAUCUCCAUCCACGAAGGGCGUCUUGUGUGCAGACCCUCGGACCGAGCACCGGGGAAGCCGUGACUCCCAGAAUACCCGAGGAGAAACCGACAGAUAAGUGGGAUUCUUCCGGCUGUGUCGGGUCCAGACCGAGCGACUGUUCAGACCGAGCGACUGUUUUCGGCAGGAGAUCAGUCCCACCCCGGGCCCUGCCAAAAUAAAGCCAGUGGCAGAUAGAACAGCGACUCCACGAUGAUGGACCACCUUCCUCCGGAAUCCCCCAGCAGUCAUCCCGGAAGGCGCCAGAUUCACUGUUCCUCGAUGCCCCCGGCCGAGACCGCCCGAGCCACGGUUGUGGAAUGUCCGCCGGGGACAUCCCCCAAUGCCUUUGGGCGCCCCCCCGAGAUAGGCCCCGGGACCCUCUGGUCUCCUGUACAUGGAGAGCAGUGAAUAAAAAUGUCUUAAGCCCA